rnacentral:rRNA from 1 species
UACGUAGGGGGCAAGCGUUGUCCGGAAUCAUUGGGCGUAAAGCGCGUGUAGGCGGCUUGAUAAGUCUGCUCUGAAAGCCCGGGGCUCAACCCUGGGAGGCGGGUGGAUACUGGCGAGCUCGAGUCCGGAAGAGGCGAGUGGAAUUCCUGGUGUAGCGGUGAAAUGCGCAGAUAUCAGGAGGAACACCAAUGGCGAAGGCAGCUCGCUGGGACGGUACUGACGCUGAGACGCGAAAGCGUGGGGAGCAAACAGG